rnacentral:rRNA from 1 species
AGCGUGUGUAGGCGGGGACUUAAGUCUGUCGUGAAAGCUCAUGGCUCAACACAUGAAAUGCCGGCAGAAACUGGGUCUCUUGAGUGCGGUAGGGGAGAUUGGAAUUCCAGGUGUAGCGGUGAAAUGCGUAGAUAUCUGGAAGAAACCAAAGGCGAAGGCAGAUCUCUGGGCCGUUACUGACGCUGAGACACGAAAGCUAGGGGAGCAAACAGGAUUAAGAUACCCUGGUAGUCCUAGCCGUAAACUAUGUAGACGDGGUGUGGGAGGUAUCGACCSYUCSCGUGCCG